AUGGUAAAGCAACCAACGAAGGGCGAAGAAACAGAGAAAAAAACACUUACCGGCCAAAAGGAUAACUUCUCCGGAGUACUCAGGUACAACUAUUCAAAGCUUAUUUCUCUGCUUCUUCUUCUUCUUCUUCAAAUUAUGGUUCAGAUUAUUUUUUAUCUAAUUUUUCUCCCUUCCUCUAUUAUGAACAACCUGUUAUAUAGAGAUGAAUCAAAAAAUUGA